GCCGAGACUUUUGGUCUCUUGCUUGGGACUAGACUGGUGGAGGUACUCAAUAUCCAGGAUCCUCAAUUUCUCACAGAUUGUUCAGUGCUUCCUUCAGCAACAAAAGCGACAAACAUUCUCUCCGCUCCAGGACACUGGGAAAACAGGCCUUUGAUAGCUCAGAUACAGAACAGUCCUUCUUUUCAGAGAAGCAGGGUUUCUCACAUUAACAGAGGAAUCAACGUCAAGGCUCAUCAUCUUUCAAGGCUAGCUUUAAAAAGGCAGAAUAGACCUUUAAUGUUUCAUUGUUUAAGCUCAGAUAUAGGACUUUGUCCAAUCAGGGAAAUUCUCACUGUAUCCAGUGUGUUACCUUUCAUGCUUCUUUCUGUAAAAUGCUCCUAG
rnacentral:rRNA from 1 species